UGGAGAGUUUGAUCCUGGCUCAGAGUGAACGCUGGCGGCGUGCCUAAUACAUGCAAGUCGAACGGACAAGUAAGAGCUUGCUCUUAUGAGUUAGUGGCGCACGGGUGAGUAAUGUAUAGCUAAUCUGCCCUACACUAGAGGACAACAGUUGGAAACGGCUGCUAAUACUCUAUACUCCUGUCUUACAUAAGUUAGAUAGGGAAAGUUUUUCGGUGUAGGAUGAGGCUAUAUUGUAUCAGCUAGUUGGUGAGGUAAUGGCUCACCAAGGCUAUGACGCAUAACUGGUCUGAGAGGAUGAUCAGUCACACUGGAACUGAGACACGGUCCAGACUCCUACGGGAGGCAGCAGUAGGGAAUAUUGCUCAAUGGGGGAAACCCUGAAGCAGCAACGCCGCGUGGAGGAUGACACUUUUCGGAGCGUAAACUCCUUUUGUUAGGGAAGAACAAUGACGGUACCUAACGAAUAAGCACCGGCUAACUCCGUGCCAGCAGCCGCGGUA
rnacentral:rRNA from 1 species